UUUGUUUGUUUGUUUAGGGCUGCGCCCACAGCAUAUGGAAGUUCCUAGGUGAGCCCUAAAAAGUCAAAAAUAAGAAAUAAAAAUUAAUAAAAACUGAGUUUUAUAAAACAAUUAAUAGUAAGAAGAAGAAACUGCUAAGGUUUUAGCACACUUGAAUAAGGAAACACAGAGAAGGCUGCCUGAGCUCCCUCCUCAUCCCCCAUCCCAGGGGAGUGAGAGAUCUGCUUCAGGGCUGGAACUGAAGAAUGUCAGAGAGUUUGCCUGGCUCAUAAGGAAAUGUGAUGUCAGAGACCAGGGCAGAGAAGGGCCAGAGACAGGAGCUGGGCUCAGGCUGGCAAGGGCUGACACCGCUGCAGGGGGCUUCCCUCGCAGGCUGACCCAGUUGUUUGGGGAGGCAGAGGGGCUGAGCUGCGGACCUCCCGCUUUACACUUCACCAAGUUCUCAACACACCUCCCUGCCACACGCUGUGGUGGCAGAGAAGGCCACACCCAGUGAGGGCACAGGAAGCUCAGAAGUGACUUCCUCCCCUGCCCUUGCAGCGCCUGGACUCACAGAGGUGGUUUCAGGCCCUCUCCACACCUGGGCUUCUUCCUCAGCUCUCGUCCCUGCCCUGAAUUCUAUGUUCAGUUCUACAGCAAAAGCAUUCACCGCUUCACAGAAAAGACUGUCUUCUUUCUCACAUGAAUGUUAAUAAGUCCAUUUUGCAGGAGGGGCUCAUGUUGUUACAGGGCAUAAUGCUCUACAAGCUCCAAAGCCCUAAUGCUCUUCCUUAAUUCAAAUAACAAUAAAACUAAGAUUUUUAAGCCCCGACUUUGUGUCAUUCUGCCAAGCACUCAACUAUUUUAAUCUUGCAUCAACCCUAUAAAGGUAGGUAUUAGGAUUAUUCCCAUUUUACAGAUGAGCAAAUAGAAGCUCAGAAUUUAGGUAAUUUUUACAAGGUCAAGUGCUGGCAAGUGGUGGAGCUGGGCUUGGAACCUAGAUUUAUCUCAUAAGAAAGGACUAUAAGCCACUAUCUGUCUACGUCAAAGGGACCUAGGAGCCAACCUGAGGCAGCUGUCACUGGCCAAAGAUGGGGCAAUCUGAGCAUCCAUUAGCAUAACUCAAUGCAUAACCCCUAACCCCUAACCCCUAACCCUAACCCUGACCCUAACCCUAAUAUCUUGAAACAAUAUCAGAUAUACCACGAAAUAACAAAGACAAAAAGCUGGGUUUUAUUCUUUCGCUACUGUUGAAGGAUAGCUAUGAACCAAUUUUUAUGUUGAAAAUCAAUCAAUAAAAGGGAAGACGCAAAUAUUGAACCUGUCUUUCCUAAACAAACUACACCACUGGAAAACUGAUUUGCAGAAGAGAAAGGGGUUUCUCAUUUACAAAGGUUUCCCUCAGAAAUAUUCAUCCAAUUAAAAGAUCUCUAUUUUCUUGGAAUUGCCAUUGUGGCUUAGCAGAAACAAGUCUGACUAGUAUCCAUGAGGACGCAGGUUCAAUCUCUGGCCUUGCUCAGUGGGUUAAGCAUCUGGUGUUGCCGUGAGCUAUGGUGUAGGUUGCAGAUGUGGCUUGGAUCUGGGAUUGUCGUGGCUCUGGUGUAGGCCGGCAGCUACAGCUCUGAUUCAGUUCCUAGCCUGGGAACCUCCAUNNNNNNNNNNAAAAAAAAAAAAAAAAAAAAAAAAAAAAAAA
ensembl:lncRNA